ACUUCAGAAUUUAUUUAAAAGGCCACUUGCCGUUGCUAAGGAAGUAUUAGCAUCAUGAAACAAAAGGGAUAGGGUGAGAAAAAAGGCUUUGGAGGAAUUGAUGGUGCAUCUGCCUUCCACAACCCCAGAGCACGAGCAAAAGCUUCAUUAGAGAUAUUUUCAUUUUACAGCUGGUUGAAUUUGAUGAUGCAGAACUUGCCGAUAGUGAGACCAACUGCACCUUGACCCACCUGAGGCCAGUCUUGAGAGUCUGGGUUGUGGCGUGAAGUACUUAACCUGGGCCAGGACUGAAAAAGAGGGGAGACUUGAGAGCCUGCAACGUGGCUCCAGGGGUCAUGUGUCAUCUACACAAAAGCUGGGGCCUCUCAAGUUCAUUGUGGCAUUCAGAGAAACAGACCAGCAGAUGAAACAAAUGUAAG
rnacentral:lncRNA from 1 species